ACCGGGUGACAACCAAUCGCCAUUAUAGUCAGCACUGAGGAACCGGAGACCAGGGUGGGCCCUUUAUAAUUGUUUGUGACACGUGGUAAACAUGCUACGAUUUUUCUAUACAAUUUGUGUGUAAUUAUUUGUAUAAAAUAGUAUAGCUACAAAUGUAACAAGAGAUAAAGUAAAUCAU